GUGAGAAGGGCUGUCUGGGCUGCCAUCCCAUAAUCUUAGAGAGUGAGAUUAUGUUACAGCAGCGUGUUAAAUUACCAUGAUCUGUCUGGCUUUCUCAUUUAUUUAUUAUAUCUGUUCAUAUUGGCCCCUUGCUCCUAAUGUUUCCAAUUGAUUUUGGCCUCUGUUCUCUGCUUCCUUACAUCUUGCCUUCAUCCUUUGAUGUAGCUCCUUCCUGUUGUCAUUUCAUUAGUUGACUGUAGUUUGUUUCCAUCACCCAUGUUUUUUUUCUUAUGUCUUUGACUUAUAACAUGUAGAUUGACUCACAGCUUUCUUUCCUCAUAUGAAUAAAGAGGGGUGGACUGAAUGUUUACUGUUGUGUAUUUAACCUUUAGAUUGUUUGAACACAGAUGUUUAAACUGAGUCACAGUUUAGCUGUGGUACAUUUAUUUUGAUGGCCAUCUGAGUAAAGUGAUUUUUAUGACAUGGUAAAUUAAUUUUGGACUCAGUUUAUUUUCUUCUUUUUUUCUUUAUGUCAGUAACUAUGCACACAGAAAGCAAAGAAGCCAGACAAGAAGUGUGGAUUUACAAUAAGACAAGUAAUGAACAAACCGUGAUGUGAGCUUUAGGUCAACAUAUGUCCAAGUUCCUUCAUUUUAACCUAUGUUAGAAUUUAAAACCACAUUUACCUUGUUGUUGUUGAAUAUAGGCAGUUUGGGUGUCUAGUAGCAUACCAAAAGUCUGUUGUCUCUGACCUGCUCUCCUGUGUAGAUUAGUAACGUUGUAAUGGCUGCUCUCGUUUGGUUUAACACGUCAUAAAGACACUCUUACAUCUGCAUGGUCCAACCUGCUUCAGCGCCAGCUUUAUAUAUAAACAUUGGUCAGACAAUGCUAGCCCAAGCAAAUGCUAAUGCUAACCUUGGGCUACUGCUAAUGUUAGCCUGAGCUACUGCUGUUGGAUGAUAGGAAAACACGAUAUUCAGACUUGUGUACCUUUUCAGUGGUGUAGAGGUAGUCCCAGCCGAGGGACCGAGAGAUUUGGGUUCAGAUCUGGUCAGGUCAUACCAAAGACUUAAAAAAUAUGACCCAACGCCUCCCUGCUUGACACUCAGCUUUAAAGAGCAAGUAACGUCUAAAUUAACUUUUUUUUGCUGAUGAACUGUAUAAAUGAGUGUCUAAUAGUGCUUUAAAUGUGUGUAUUCAUUAUUUUAGCAUUUUGGUGCAUUUUCUUUAAAAAUUAAAAAUUCUGCCUAAAUACCACAGUAUAGCACCACCUUCAGCUUAAAACAUAGAAUUUGACUCAUUUUGAAUAAAUUUUAGCCAAUGGCUAAAGAGUAAGAUACUACGUAAACCAGUAGAGUACUACGUAGCAGCUCUGUGUCAAAGUUAUAAAAGCAACAAGCAUCUCGGCCACACCUUGUGGCGAGUUGGGAGUAUGAUUUGCAAGCGAGUGUAGGAGGUUAGCCGUAGUUCAGCAUUAGCAUAUAGCGUUAGCAUAUCCUAGUCUUUAGCAUAGCUUUUAGUGUUAUAAAUACUUAUUUAGUGUUAGCUUGGCUGUUGGAUAUUGUAGUUUAGUUAGUGUUUGGCUGUUAGUGUAAUUAGGAAAGUAGUUCAGGUUUAGUGCUCCAUAUCGUGUUAGUAUGGUGAGAUGGUGUAGUGUAGUAUGGUUGCGGUGGAUCUGUGGGCAUUUUAUCCGCGAUUCUGCACGCCUCCGUUUGAAGAGGGAGGCUGCCCACCGUGGCUCUUCCGUGAUUUAGAUGCAGCCCACCGACUCUGCUCCCCCACCAUGGCGGGCUACAGUCUGAGGUGAGUCAGCUAAAUAAAGUUUUAACAUCUUCUAAAGACAAUUCCCUACCUAAAUGCAAAGUCCGAGAGACGUGGUUCACUUCAUUUAGCUAGUCAGUCGGUUAUUCUGCAACAGUGUCUCUAACUAACGCAGCACUAGUUGACAGACAGCAUUACAGUGUGAAAUCCAGCUUGUGACCCGGUUCUGUAAGGAACUCCGUUCAGGAGGUCGCAUUUCAGGCUCUCCACAUCAUAUGUGACUGACUUUUACGUUAUAACAACGAUCACACACUAGGAAUGUUAUAAAGCACCUAUAUAGGGCAGUAUCUUUUGUAUAUUAUCUGACUUUAUAAACUCCCAACAACAAUGUGCUUCUAUUUGUUUUUUCAGGCUAAAUCUACCCAAGACACUGGCUGUCAGACUGAUUUAGCUGCAAGAAUGCACUUGUCCAGGCAGACAUGAAGCCUUACCGGCGUAGCAAAGCCAGCCAGAAUGGAGUUCACAGCCGCAGUGUGUCUGGUGACACGGGGACCAUGACGGAAAUUCAUCUUCCAGAAAGUCCCAGAGCAGCGUCCACACCCCUGAAAAGACCAAGAUGUGAGGUGUCUGCUGUUGAUUCCAGCUUCCACCUCAGUGACAGUGCAAGCUCAGUGAACUGGUCAAGGUAAAAAAAUUAAAACAUUUCUGAAUUUUUAAGAUAUUAACAAUUAAAUUAGUAUGUGAUUACAUCAUGACAUCAUGAAGGAGGCUACUGAUUCUGCCCCUGUGACGCUUGGUGGUGACGUGUGAGCUGAUUCACCUGGUAAAUAACUUUUACAUUAAAUAUUUUGUUUUUGCUAUCAAAAGUAAAUUAACUAAUAACCUGCAUUAUUGCAGGACACUCAGCAAAAUAUGGACUCUACACCAUGAGGAAGGCACACGUUAAUACUUAUAAGAGCACAUAAGCCUGGCUGAUCACCUGAUAACUCCUGUCAUCUGGUUAUGACAGCAUGAGGAUGUCCUCACACACCUGUAACCUAUCAGCUCAUCUGGCAGAAUAGAGAGAGAAGAGACAACACCACAUCUCCUGUUCCUGGAAAGCCUUCAGCCUUCCUUCGAUGACUGAGAACCUCCAUCAGCUCUGUCUCCUGUCUGCCCACAAUUAUUAUAAUAAAUAUUGUGUUUGACAAGUUUUUUGUGCUGCCAAAUAUCUCAUUUUGAUUCCAGUUUUGAUAUUUUAAUGGAUAUUUAUAAAUUACAUUAAUUGAAUUAUCACAUUGUUGCAUGUUUAACCAGCUCUAUUGUGAUGAAUUAAACUAGCACCACACUGUUAAAAGCUCGUUUUAAUUUCAAGCAUGUUUAAGUAUUUAUGGACAUGAACAAAAAUAGGAAAUAUAUCAAUUGAGAUUUAUUUAAUUAAUAUAACAAAUAAGGGGGAAAGAGUCAUUGAAAGGCACAUUCUUCUGGAAGCUCCUGAUCCUGACGACACCAGACCAGCUGCAGACACCAGAGGACCUAGAACCGAGAGAGCAGCUGUUGUUAGUAAAUAAAGAAAUCAGGGCAGUUUUAGUGGGCUGAACACAUUACAGAAUAAUUUUCUCAUGGGGUAUUUUCAUAACUUUCUAUGCAGCAGAUUGUAACUUGAGCCCAAGGCUCCUGGAGACCUGCUAUCCAGCACGUUUCAGUGGUUUUCCUGCUUUAACAGGUUGGAUUAGCUGUUAAGCAGCUCAACUAUUUGUUGCUGAUUAAAAUCAGGUGUGUUGAAGCAGAUAAACCUCUAAAACAUGCUGAAUACUAGCUCCAGGGCCGUGGAGACAAACCCUGCAGCUAAUCCAAUGCUAUGGCUAACGGCUACUUACCAUUCAGAGCUGGUUCUGUUGGGUCAGUUCCGGUAGUUUCAGGCAACUCACAAGCUCAAAACAAUAAGGCUCAGGUCCGCUUGUCUCCUCCAAAUAGACUUGGUCCCUUUCUUCUCGAGUGUCUGGGUAAGGAGGGGGAGAAACGUCCUCCACUUCUAAUGACUGCUCAGAGUGAAGGGAGCUAGCAUCGUCUAGUUAGCCGUUGUCUUCGUCACUGCCGCGGCUCCGCCCUCUCGGUCCUCCAGGCAACGCCUACUAAUGUUGCAUUUUUUAAAAUUGAUACGUGGGUGGAGUAAGACUCUGAGUGGGAGUUACAACUUCUUUAAGGAGUUGAAUUGAAGGGUUAAACCACCAAAUAGUUCCCAAACGCAGUCACAGCUGCAGAUCACCAUUCCUUAUUGGGAUGGGUCAAAGGUGGAAAUGUAGUUUCACCAGUGUGUGAUGAUGGCUAAUGGGACUUUAACCCCACCGUGGUGUCCAGGGUUUAAUAACAUAUGAAGAUAAUCCAGAAUAUAAUGUAACAGUUGUAAUGUGCUGGUUGAAGUAGUUGAAGUUUUGUAUUAUGAUUAGGGCUGAAACGGCAAACAUGCUUUCUCGACAAUCCUUGUUAUUGUGUGAGAUAAAAAGUGUAGAAAUUAAAACGGACGUGUUAUGAUAGAGAAAUAGCUGGCGAGCCAUGUUUGUGCAUGCGGUAUGAGCGGUUCUGGUGCUGUUUGGGCCGCAGCCACUCGCAGCGCUUCUUAAACAGUUAUCCUCCCAGUUUUUGUCUUACUGUGAAGUAAAGUUGAAGUGCUGAAGUUUUGAAAACUAAUUUGGAAUAAAACUUGAAGAAUAACUGGCAAGUGUUUGCUCAUUUUAAGAGGUAUUUCAUAUUUUAUAACAUGCUAUUUGAUAUAAUGGUUUACAAACACAAAAGGGUCAUUUAUUAGAGUACUCGAUUAAUCGAUAAAAGAUUUGAUAGAGUACUCGAUUAAAGAAAUAUUUGAUAGCUGCAACCCUAAUUAUGAUGCCAACUUAGAAGAUAAAAGCUGAUUUGGUCCUCACAAAAAAAAACAAUAAA